ACCUGGCUGGCUCAAACGGUAGAGCAUGUGACUCUUGAUUUCAGGGUCAUAAGUUUAAGCCCUAUGCUGAGUG
rnacentral:tRNA from 1 species